AUACGGAGGAUGCGAGCGUUAUCCGGAUUUAUUGGGUUUAAAGGGUGCGUAGGCUGUGCGUUAAGUCAGGGGUGAAAUGCCGUCGCUCAACGACGGAGCUGCCCUUGAUACUGGCGUGCUGGAGUACGGAUGCCGUUGGAGGAAUGAGUGGUGUCGGGGUGAAAUGCUUCGAUAUCACUCAGAACACCGAUUGCGAAGGCAUCUGACGAAUCCGUCACUGACGCUGAGGCACGAAAGCGUGGGGAUAGAACAGGAUUAGAUACCCUGGUAUUCCACGCCGUAAACGAUGAUGACUAACCGUCGGCGAUAGACAGCCGGUGGCCAAGCGAAAGCGAUAAGUCAUCCACCUGGGGAGUACGGCGGCAACGAUGAAACUCAAAUGAAUUGACGGGG
rnacentral:rRNA from 1 species